GGAUGUUUUGUUUGUAAAUUUGUUUACUUGCUGUCUUUUCUUCUCUUUUCUCUUCAAUGUUCUGGAUGCUUAUUCCAAGGAGUUGAGUAAGGGAUCGUGUUCCUAUCUGUGUAUUGUAAUUAGUACAGCUAUUUAAAUGCUAUCUGGAUCCCAUUUAUUAUAUUUGUCAUUUGCUGUUUAGUUCAGUGGAAAUGCUUUUAUGUAAAUCAUGGAAAAAUGCUUCUGACUUGUAACAAGAUGGGGCUGAAUUUAGGAGACUGAAACUCUUCUUUCAGGAAUAAAAAGUGUCUUGCUGAACUAAGAAUGGAAGAUUAUAGUAGCUGCUUCUUGCUGAAAGUGCAUUAUGCUGGCAUAUGCACAUGUCCAAAUGGAAUUAGCUGUGGUACUCUAGUGGGAUACUUCCCAACAGUCCUAAAAAAAAAUAAUUUGGAGAAAGCUGUCACACAGGAAAUUUCCUCUCAACUUGCAUUGUUUGUUAAAUAUUCCUUACUUUUUUGGACUAGACUUCAAUUUUAUACAGGUUUCUAAGAUUUUUUAGCUGUACUUGGAAUAUUUGGAAUUGAGCACUUCAUAGGGAGGAGUCAAGUUGCUUCCCUUUACAUCCUACCAUGUCAUUUCUUAACUAAUGUGUUUCCUUCUGUGGCUAGGGGGAUACUUGCACUUCACAUUGAUCUAAUGGCUGUCAUAAUGUUUUUGGUUGCUUUUAGGUAUCUGUGGUUUUUUUGUCCUGAUCUUGGCUUGUCUAACAAGCACAUUCAGAUAAACACAACCCUCACCUUUCUCUUGUACAGACCUUUUUCUAUCUGCUGCUUUGGUUCUUGAACUUUUGAUUUGUUUAUUUUUUUUUUAAACAUUAGAAGUAAACAAUUAUUUCAUCGUUCAUAUAUAAGCAAGUCAUCUAUUUUGUGCUGUUUGGUGUGUUUUUCUUUCCCCGUAAGAUGAGCUUCUGACAUGCUAACUGAAGGAAGAUUAAUAAAUUGUGGCUUUUAUUUGUGUCUCUUAGUUUUCAGCCUGGAGUGUGAGCUUGUGUGACUUUGCUCUGUCAUAAAUACUGUGUUAAAUUACAGCAAUUAUUUUUUUAAGAAACUUUGAUUUUUUGCCAGGGAUUCCUGAGCCAUCUAGUAAUAGUUUCAGGGAUCCUAUUCCUUCUCUGAAAAUCAGUGCCAAUUUUGGACUGUGCAGCUGUCCCAGUUUCCUUUUCAUUAAUUUUUACUGUAGGAAUAAAUAUUUGUUAUCUGAUGUUUAUUAUAUUAGCUUAUUAAACAUCAGUUAUUUCGUUUUUUAAGGGAUAUUGGUUUCUUUUCUUUCUUUCUUUUUUUUCCCCCUAUUUAAAACAAACAAACAAAAGAAGAAUAUAUCAAUCAGAAGAGAUCUGGAUAUGAUGGUAGAGCAGUAUGAAGUGUUAUUUAUCUGCCUAUUCCAGAAAUGAUCCUUCUGUUAUUCCAUACAGUACUGCAUAGCUUUUGGCUCAGCUGGUCUGCAUAAUAAGGGAGAGUCUCUGUUAAGCCAAGCAACUUCUUUUGCAGUGAAGAGCAUGUAAGGUAUGCAUGGCAGUAGAUUAUCACAAUUAUCAAGUAUCAGUACUGACUUAGUAUUUGUCCCUGGCCUUUUCUAGUGUAGCGUAAGGAAAGCCUGUCUUGUGCCUGCUCUUCUCUCUGUGAAGAAUUUUGGAGUUAAUAGUUUAUUAAUAGUUUGUGUUCCGCAUAGAUCAUCACAGAUUUGCUCUUUGUUCUUGAUCUUAAGUUUUUGUUUUUUCAGUUUUAUGUGACAUGGUAGUACUUUUACUACUCAGCUCUGCCAGAUAGUGUUUGAAGCAGACACCUUUCACAGUGUUUGGAUUUUGAUGGCGUAAGUUCUUUUUUUUAAAAAAAAAAAAACAACAACAGAAAGGAAAAGAAGCUUUUUGCAUGCUUAACCCAUUAAUCAGCUUUUACAGAGCGUGGAGGUAUUUUUUAUCUUUAAUUAUGAGAAUUUGUGUCUUGGCCAAUAGCUGUGUAGGACUUGAGUUAACAUACCAAACUGGCACUUUGUUGUCUUCUGUGUUUUUGAGCUCUUACAGUAAAUAAUGGAGGAGGUGGCGUUUGGGAAAUCCUAGUGAAAGAAAACUUUACAUGUUUUGAUUUUAACUGCCUUUUAAAUGUAAUGGGGGCAUAAAUGUUAAUUCAGCUGUACUGUAACGUGUUUUGAAAAUAGUAACAUAACUUGCAAAUGGAGUAACUGACUUUCUUUUAGUAUCUUAAUUCUAUUUCCAGGCUUCUGUUUCUUCCCAAUUGUGUACUUUUAUGAGUGAGCAGUGGAGUUGUUGAAGGGUAUUUCCAGACGAGAUCAACUGUCAGAAUUAGAAGUCUGCAUGCAGUUACAGGGUUCUGACUUCAUUGGGAUCAUUCUCAGCCUUGAGAGUUGAUGUCUGUAUUUGAACAAAUUCCUUUUUAAUGAGAAGGGCUGAGAAGGAAGCUUCUCAUAAGAAAAAUGAUUUCUGCUGUCUUCUUGUGAUGCACCUGGUACUAGAUUUUCUGUGAAAGAUGGGCUACAUUGGAGACUUGUACUGUAGAGUGAGAAUCACUGCUUGACUAGGUUUGAUUUUAUUUAUUUUUUGCUACAGAAGAGAGCAGCUGGCUAAGAUCUGUGGAAGUCAUGUUUCCAGCUCUGCUUCUUUUUUGCUGAUGCCUUGUGUUGAACUCUUCCUGGAGGAUGAAAUGUGUCUUGGCACAUUUAUUGCCAUCUGCUGUUUGUCUCUGUUGAUAAGGCUUAGUUAGCAGUUUCCCUAGGAAAGUGCAUGACAUAGUUUCAAAAGCUGCUACGAUUACCUGUUGCUGUGGGAAUAGAUGGCCCUGUUCUAAGUGCUCAACUUUUCCAGCUGGUGGAUAUCGUUACUGUUUCAGAUGACUAAUAUGAAAAAUGAUAAUUGAAGCUAAAGGACUAUUACGUAGUAAGCUUUAAUUAGUUGAACUGUUUCAUACUUGUUUACCGUGGGUGCUAAUGCUCUUGAAAUUAAUUGGCAUUAACGGGGGUUCAAAGUUUAUAUGCAAUCGUUACGGUUAUAAUGUGUUAGAUUACUAGGUAACUUGGCUUAUUAGGUGAUUUCAUUCCCGAUUAUUGCUGCAAGUUAACAAUGCCAGAGCAAUUAUCUUACAAACACUGGAGUUGCUCACAAGGCAUAUGCAUCCAGAAUCUUCCCGUGGAGUUCAGAUGCCUGCUGUACUCUCUAGCUAAUAGGCAAGGGAAGGUGAUCUGUGUAUGUCAUCCAGCAGCAGAUGGGGAAGAUUUUUUGAAAAUGGGGUAGCACACUUUCAGUCCUUCUAUAAUGCUAAUAAAGUUUUUGUGUGAGAAUGAUAACGGUGUCAGUAGCCCUAAUCUAUCAAUGACAUCAACUUCUGGCAUGUACAAGCAAUCAAAGCAAACAUGGAAUGCCUUUGUGUGCAUAGCUGGACGGUAUAAACCAGUUGCUACUGGAGUGAAGAGAGAAGGUCAUCUCUCAUUUUCCACAAACAGACCAAAUAUCUAGAGUACACAUUCAUUAAACUCUUCUUGAACAGAAAUUAUGACUUGAUUAUAAUGUGAAUUUUUCCGUCUUGGAAUGUAUGGACUCGACAGGAUUUUCACCCCUAAAUAAUUGUGCUGUUGUAUGUUAUUGGCAUACUGUAGUGUAGCUUAUAUCAGACUACAAGUGUCUGAUAGAAGAAAUAACAAAUUCACUGGAUUAUUAUUACCUAUUAAAUAAAAAGUACUAUUAAGCAACAUAUACUUAAUUUUAAUUAAUUUUAAGUAAAUCUGAGGUUAGGUAUUGUAGGUGUCAUAUCAGAAAUCAGUUACAAGUGAAGAUGACUUUGUUUUUAGAGUGGAAAAAGAGAAAAUUACAAUGGCAAAAACUGUGGAUUAGUAGUGUAACUGGAAAGUACCAAAGUCUGCUCCUUGCUGAUCACUCUCCAAAAUGCCACCAGGAGAAGAUUUAGGUGCUGAGUCUUCAGAUUCUGAGUCACUAGAGCUCUUUAAUUUUUUCUCUCUGUCCCAUAUUCUUAGUCUCUACUUUAAGCCUGUAAGUUUAACAGAUUCAGGAGCUUAUGUUGUAGAUGGACGUGUUUCAUGUAUUAAUUUUGAAGAUGUCACUCUCUUUGAGGUGAAAAGGAUGGAUGCAUGGUAGGCUGCUUAGUAUGUUCUAUUAAAGGCAUCUGUGGAAUUUUACAGUGGGUAGUUCUUUGUAGUUAUAGCAAUUUUGCACUUUUUAAGUAGUAUGAGCUUACAGAUUGGAAUCUUGGAUAUGUACCUACAUUAUAAAAAUGUUAAACACUGAUGUACAUACAGUGGGUCAAAGUAAUGGAAUGGUUCUGAAGAAAGGAUUUCACGUUGAGUAUUUUUAGCUGUGAAGCCUAUUGGCUAGGGACUUUUUUAUGCUUUAGUAUUUACAAUUAUGAUACUUAAUUCUCUUCUGUAAGAGGCUGGUUACCCAGAAUCAAAAAGAUGAGAUGAAGAGUGCAGAAAAAAUACUCUCACGACUUUUUCAUAACUGUUACUCUUCAGGUGAGGAGUUAGAUGUGAAACUAUAGAACUCUGGGACCUCAUUCAGACGGAACCUGAGAAGAGAGAGAGGGAGAGAGAGAGAGAGAGAGAGGGACUUAAAUACUUGUUUCAGUUCUUUUACACUUACUUUUCAGUAAGGAAUAAAAAAUAAGAAUACUUUGUUAAAUCAUUACAGGGUAGAUGUGAUACUUCUAUCAAAUGUAUCUAUUUGAUAACAGAGAAUUCCUCAGGAGUGGAUUCAUUUUGGUAUUUCAGCCUUGAAACCAAGCUUGCAUGUUCAAGUCUACUAAAAUUGUUGGUGUCAUGUGUCUAAUAACCCAUCUGCUUGAAUGAUGAUAAAGCCUCCUACUUAGUCUGUCUGCCUCGAGGGAAUAAUCUAGGAGCCAUCAUGACAGUACUGCUGCGAGCCAACAAAGUAUUUUUUUUUUUUUUUUUUUCCUUCCACAGGAGUUUCCUUUGAAACAUAAAUUAAGACAGCAGUGGUAGGAACCUGAAACCUUUAGGGAACAUAUCUUUAGAAUGUCUGACCAUAUAUAAUUUAUAGACAUGAUGAGGAACAAAUACCUAUCAGAUUGGCUGUCAGGGCUACUGAAAGUAAAACAACAACAACAACAAGACAAACAAACAAAAAAAAACCUGUCAUGUCCCACUCUGUUCUUUCCUUCUGUCACCUUAUUUAAAAUGGAGCCAUAUAAGAUUAUAUGAUGUGUGAUUUCUGGGGGCUGAGUUUAAUGACAGUCGCGUAUUUCUUAAAUCUUUUUUUGCCAUGCAGUGGACUGUAUGACACUUCAUUUUUGUUCCACUAAGUUUUGAAGCAGUUGUAUGGAUUUCGUGCUGUGGCAGAGAACAACAGCCAGUAAGAAAAGCCAAGAUUCAAAAUAAUUUGUGUGCCUGAUGCCCCAAAUGUGAUUCAACUUGACAUCUAUAAUUCAUCUCUUUCCUUUUAUUACUGUCUUACAAGUCCUCUUACAUGAUUAGUGUCUUGUGUUUGUUGGUCAAAAUUUAGGGUCACUGCAGUUGGCAGCAUCAAUGAGCCAUAUUUCAGUUCUUAGUUCAUGAGAAAGAAGUUGCAUGGAGAUGGUGAGUUUUCCUCUCAUUUGUGAUAAAUCAGUGUCAUAUGUCUUGCUUUUAAAAUCUUUGUCUUUACACAGCCUGGAGCUACAGGCUUGAAGUAGAGCCUAUUUAGUAAAAGGGGGGCCACAAAAGUGAUGAAAGUAUUGGUGCCCCUUUCCCGUGAGAGACACACAACUUGGGAAAUUACAGGUGGGACUGGAUGUGUAUAUGAACGUUUGACUCCUGCUUGCAAAAUGAUGAUAAUUCACAGUCAUGUCAGUGGCCAAGUAUGUUCUAGUUUGACGAUCUUGAGCUAGUGGGUCUCUGAAGAGGUGGCGCCCUAAUCUUGAUAGACUAUGUCUUUUCUGAUGAGAGAAGACAUGGUAUAAUUCUGUCUGGAACUAGGUGGAAGCCCUUAACGUGUAAUCAUGAUAAGUCUUCAAUGGAAAAACAACAACAACAACAACAACAAAAAAAAAAAAAAAAAAAACACAACCAACCAAAAAGAAAACAACUGGUGAGGGUUUCAGUGGGCUAUGUUAUCCAAAAUAGUUGUCAGAAGCAGUGCUUUUUGUAACAGUAUUAACUGCUUGAGCAAACUUAGCUGUAACAGAACAAGAAGAAAAUCCUAAAAGUGCUAAGAGGAGUUAAAGGAGAAGAAAAUCUGGGUAACAGAACCUGGAUGAUGAAAGCUGGUUAUGGGGAGGAAGUUGAGAAGCCAGUGUUCUUUGCUGAGACAAUGCUGGGGAGAAACGGAGGUAAAUGUCAGCCAUACUAAGUUGGGCAUCUGCACUUUUUUCUAUGGAAUAAAUUGUUUCUCUUUGAUUCAGAUGCCAUGCACAGCGACAGCAGGGAGGUGUGGAAAACUGGGCUUAAGCAGAUGUAUCUUUGUGUAGAAGGUUGAAUUGCAAGGAGGGGACCCUGUGAGACUGGUGGCUGAGCAGUACUGUGCCUGAGGGCUGCAUUGUCCCACUGAGAAUGUGAAGAAAUUGAAGAAGCAACUUGUGCAAGAGGUCUCUUGAAGAGAUUGUGCAGUAGCUCUGUCCUGCCCAAGAGACUCCAUCUCUCCUCAGCACACUCAGACUACACUGUCUUCUCCAUAGUGGAUCUGAUCACACAGGCAUGGAGAGAUGGGCCUCAUGGAGUCCACAGGUGAUCCACUUAUAAUCCUAGUAACUGUACAGUUCACAGUGGACUGGAAGGACAGAUCUUUUUUCAUUCCUCAGAGAGGCUUGAGGGCCUGAGCUCAAUCCAGAAAAAAGAAAACCAAGGUUUCUCUUACUCCAGCUAUGGUCAAAACCUAGAAUAAAGUUAUUUUGUUUGUUU